AACUAGUUUCUCAGGUAUACGUCUGGGUGUGCUUGGGAACUAGUUUCUCAGGUAUACGUCUGGGUGUGCUUGGGAACUAGUUUCUCAAGUAUACGUCUGGUCUGGAAAACUCAGGUAUGCUUCUGUGGCUAGCACCCUAAGUAUACUUCUGGUUCUGUUUGGGUUUUAUCGGCAUUUAAUUGCCAUCUGGAAUCUGGCAAGUUUGCUUAUAAAGCUUAUUUGCUGCAGUGUUGCUUAUUUUGGUUACCGGAUUCAUGGAAUGUGGAAUUUGACUUUGAUAAUUGUUACUGUGGUUUCGGCUAUAUUUUUGAUAAUAAUAGUGAGCUCUUGGUGUUGCUGUAGAAAGAUACCUGCGUGUUGCAUUUUGUAAGUAUUAAUUCUGUAAGUGAUAAGUGUGUUCUGUGAGUGUAAGCUGGGAAAAAUGGGAGGAAAGCAGAGUGGUGGGAUUUUAAAGAAAAGCCCGUUAGGAUGUGUUUUGAGUCACUGGAGGGAUAUUGGAGGGUCUGCUGGUGGAAAUGUGAAUAAGAAAACAUUGAUAAAGUACUGCAAUCAAUGGUGGCCACUUUAUAAGCUGGAAGGUGGGGAAAAGUGGCCUUGUAAUACUUUGCUGCAGUACGGAGAGAAGGAAAAUGGGAUGAAGUAAUGUGUGCUGAUAUGUUUGUGUGACAGAAGGAGUGUGGGAUUAACACCACCUGAUCUUUGAUUAUGGCUCUAGAAAAGGAUAGGAAAACAAACAAACAAACAAACAAAAAACCAAAAACCUGAGACCUAAACUAAAAAAAAAAAAAAAUAAAAACAGAGAGAGCUCAGGUUGUGGUUCUUUCUGUGCAGCAACCAGAAUGAAACACGUUGUAAGAUAAAAACUUGUGCUAGUGUAUGUAAGAUCUGAAGCCGGGGGGUGGAGAAUCAAAGACCCUGUGAAAGUGUUAAAGUCUUGGGGUGAGUUUGUACAAACCCCCGUACCCCCUCGAAGGUGCGGCUGAGUCCUGCUGGACGCAUGGCAGGGUGUUUGCUGUUUGCCUGCAAAGGCUGAUAUGUAAGAACACAGACUUAAAGCAACAAGGAGCAGAUUUGCAUUCAGGGUAAGAAACAGUUAAAGCAGAAGUGCUGCUGCAGAGGCAGGCUUGUGUAACCUGCAGAGCAGGAAGAGCAUCUCCUGCCCUGAAUCCUGCUGGUGAGGAGGAGGGGGUUGCUGUUGCUGACGAUUGAGCAGAAGGACCUGAUAAUGUCACCCCAAUUGCUGCAGCAUUUGCAGCACAACAGGACCGGUAACGGCCCCUUUAGGGCAGGCAGCGGGUCUGAGGAGAGUAAAGGUGAAUCUUUGAUGGGGAAAUUUAGAUGUUUGAAAGUUGGUUGUGAAUAGGACUGGAUAAAGGUUCGAGUUGUUUGUUACUAGGUAAUUGUGAUGUAGAAAAGUUGGUGAAUAUAAAACCAACUUAUUUGGUGUUAAACUUCAGUGAAAAGAAUUUGUCACAUUUGUGGGAGCUGCUGGCCACCAGGAAAAUAUCCUGAAACCUUUAAAGUACAAACUAAGAAAACAAAUAAGAAUGCCAAAUUCACCAAAAUCUUUGUUGGGAAGAGAUUUAUUAGAACUUCUAGACGUUUAAAGAAGGGGAAAUGAAAACAAAAGUUAAAAAUGAUCAAUUAAUCAAAAUGUUGAGCUUAUCUUUAAUUCAACAGAAAAGUGGAAGAGAGGACCUCCCUGAAGUAAAAGAAAUCUUUAACCAGGUAUAUCUGGAAGUAAAUUCCAGGUAAGGGGAAAAAUGCUUUCCCUGUUACAGUAAAAAUGAUAAACGGGAGGCCUGCCUAACUCAGGUAAAACAAUAUCCCUUGGUCAGCAAGGCUGUGGGGGAUAUUGGCGUAAAAACUAAAAUAAAAUACACUCUGUAGUAGUCUACUAAUGUGAAUCUGUGUUUUGCCAUGACAGUGACUUGUUAUGGGAUGUGCAGAUGAAACUCUGCAUUGACAACAAAGUACAAGGAAUAAGGCUGGUCAAGUGCCUCCUACUACAAUCAAGGGCAAGACUGGGUUGGCCUGUGUUUGCCACCAAGAAGGAUCUUGAGCUCCGCUGUUGGCUGCAACCCAGUAGGCGUUGAGCGGUGGGAACAUAUGCCAUGCAAGACCUUGAUGUGAGGAAUGACCCCCUCUGUUAUAAGAGGGUCUUCCAGGAAGGAAGAACAUAAGAUGGCCCAUUGAAGCACUGAUUUAGAAAUGGGAAACCGCCUGGCCGACCACGAAGCCAUCCAAGUAGCAGAGGAGGUUAAUGCAAAGUAAACCAUUUGACAAUCAGUAAAAGUCUCAUGUAACGUGAAACCAGACUUCUUCACUCGUGAAUCCAGUAUUUCUCUUACGAGCCGCUUGUAUCCACUAUUCAAGAGUAAAGAAAACUCCUGAGAAAUUAUGGGCCGUCACUCCGGCAGGAUCCACAGGACUACGAUUCUUCAGGUCAUAAUUAUAGUCGGAUGUUUGCCAAAUUUGUACUUAACUCUGUGGAAUAAGAAUGUACAUUUAUCCCUGGUACAAGGCAUAUCUCAGGCUCUGAAUAAAACUGAUUGUUGGAUAUGUACACAUAUGCCUGAAUAUGGAGGAAAGGGUAUAUCAUUGAUUGGAUUUCCAUUACCUAGGAAUAAAUCUUAGGAAAGACUGUGGGGAAAAUACCUCUUGGAGUAUUGAAAAUGAUGAAAUUUUGAAAUUAGAGAUAAAUAGUCCUAAGGUGCAAGAGUCAUAUACUAUAUGUGUGUUCAGAGAUGUAAUCCACCUAAAGGAAUGGGAAUUGUGGAUUGUAAUCCCGUAAUGUAUGUAGGAACUCAGUCCUUUUGUAAUAACACUUUAGACAUCGGUACUUCACUGUCUGUUAGCUCUACUGCUUGGCCAGUGCCCGAAGGGAAAGGAUGGUACUGGCUGUGCAAUGAUACAGUUCGAAAGGUUUUACCUAAAAAUUGGAAGGGAACCUGCACCUUGGGAGCAGUAGUGCCUAAUAUGACAGUACAUGAUUCGUUCUCACAAGGAUACUUAAGAAAUCAUAUUAAAAGGAUUAGACGGGAAAACACAAAUCCUAUAAGAGGGAGGCCUACUGCAUUCCAUAGUUUUGCUCGAUGGUUUGUCCCUUGGUUAGGAGUGAGUGAAUUAGAAAAAAACCAUAAUCAAUAUAUCUGCGAUAAUAGAGAAAUUAGAAAACAGAACAAUUGAUGCAUUGAAAGCCCAGCAAGAGGAAAUAUCUAGCCUCUCAUAAGUGGUAUUACAAAAUAGAAUGACUUUGGAUUUGCUGUUAGCUGAUCGAGGGGGAGUGUGUACAGUUAUAAAUACUAGUUGUUGCGUAUACGUGGACCAAAGUGGAAGAGUUUCCACUGACUUAGAGGAGAUACCAAGGUAUUACGUGAAGUAAGUGAGGAUGAUGUGUCUUGGGAUAUUGGAAAUCUUGGGACAACUCUAACUUCCUGGUUACCUAAUGUACAAUGGUUAAAACAGGUGUUAGCUGCCAUAGUUUUGUUGAUUGUUUUAAUAAUACUUGUGUGUAUUCUGUUCAAAUGCUUAUUCUGUUGUACUUUUGAAAGAUAAAAUAGCAAAGGAAUUUGCUUGUAUUGAGAAAAGGGGGGAAUGAUGUGAAUAAGCUGUAAAUAAUAUGGUCAAGUUUGUAUUCAUAAACCAAUAUUCAUUUUAAUGCAUAAAUAAGCUUGUAAUUGUAUAGCGACAAAGGGGUUAAAAUGUCUGAAAGAUCAUAUAGACUGUUCUGGCAAGAAAGCUGCAAAUCUCUGAAAGGGGAGCUGUCCUCCUUAUGUACAAAGCAAGCUGCCCUACCAAGGAGAUAAUGGGACAGCAGGAUGGCCUUGAGUAAAAUUACAAGGGUUAUUGUAAAAACCCUGGGAAAGAUUUCUACAAGUCUGCCAGCUCAUCACUUUUGAGACCUAAGGUGAAAAGUACACCAUGAGGAAGACCUACGGCCUUCCUCCCAUAGACCACUGCCCACAUUCUAAAGACCCCGGCCCACAAUUUUUGGAAGAAUCUGCGCAAGCGUGAAGGACUGAUAAACUAAUUAGCAUACGAAGUGAGGGUAGGCGGGUUCAGGUGAUGAAUAUGUAUAGGCGUUAAUGGAAUAUUCAUUGUUUCAUUAUAUAAAUACAAGAUAAUCUGCCCCUCUGGGUGUGUACGAUUGGUGGAAGGAUCCCCCGUACACCCGGCGCCGACAAUAAAGAAUACUUAAUCACUAAGAAA